rnacentral:rRNA from 1 species
AUUGAACGCUGGCGGCAGGCCUAACACAUGCCAGUCGAACGGUAACAGGAAGCAGCUUGCUGCUUCGCUGACGAGUGGCGGACGGGUGAGUAAUGUCUGGGAAACUGCCUGAUGGAGGGGGAUAACUACUGGAAACGGUAGCUAAUACCGCAUAACGUCGCAAGACCAAAGAGGGGGACCUUAGGGCCUCUUGCCAUCGGAUGUGCCCAGAUGGGAUUAGCUAGUAGGUGGGGUAACGGCUCACCUAGGCGACGAUCCCUAGCUGGUCUGAGAGGAUGACCAGCCACACUGGAACUGAGACACGGUCCAGACUCCUACGGGAGGCAGCAGUGGGGAAUAUUGCACAAUGGGCGCAAGCCUGAUGCAGCCAUGCCGCGCGUAUGAAGAAGGCCUUCGGGUUGUAAAGUACUUUCAGCGGGGAGGAAGGGAGUAAAGUUAAUACCUUUGCUCAUUGACGUUACCCGCAGAAGAAGCACCGGCUAACUCCGUG